rnacentral:rRNA from 1 species
UACGUAGGGGGCAAGCGUUGUCCGGAUUUAUUGGGCGUAAAGAGCGUGUAGGCGGCCUUACAGGUCAGCUGUGAAAACUCGAGGCUCAACCUCGAGACGUUCGGUUGAAACCGUAUGGCUAGAGUCCGGAAGAGGAGAGUGGAAUUCCCGGUGAUAGCGGUGAAAUGCGCAGAUAUCGGGAAGAACACCCGUGGCGAAGGCGGCUCUCUGGGACGGUACUGACGCUGAGACGGCGAAAAGCGUGGGGAGCGAACAGGA